GUGACGUCGUACCUUUUGUAUUAUGGGCCAGCGACUUAAUUUAACGAGCAAGCUUAAGCCGAUAGGCGGAGGCGCAGCGAAAGCGAGUCUGAACAGGGCGUUCAGUUCGUCGCAUUAGACCCGAAACCGAGUGAUCUAGCCAUGUGCAGGAUGAAGGUGGGGUAACACCCACUGGAGGUCCGAACCAGUGCCCGUUGAAAAGGUCUUGGAUGACGUGUGGCUAGGGGUGAAAGGCCAAUCAAACUCGGAAAUAGCUGGUUCUCCGCGAAAGCUAUUUAGGUAGCGCCUCGGACGAAUACCACAGGGGGUAGAGCACUGUUAAGGCUAG
rnacentral:rRNA from 1 species